GCUCUUUUUUCACCCAUUUAAUAUUGAUUCAUCUACAUGGUUAUAUGCAUGCUUUUGCAUACAUAACUUAUCCAGUCCGCUGUUGAUCAUUUCAAUUUUUCAUCCCGGCAGUACGCCGAUAGCCUAACUAGUCUGCUAUUGAUCAUUUCCAUUUUCAUCCCGGCAGUAUGCCGAUAUCUAUAAGCGAGCCAAUAGUUCCAAAACGUUGCUUCACAAUUACUCGGCAGUAUUUGUCUAUUUGAGCAGCACAUAGCUGGCUUCGGUGGGUAGCAUGGCAUGUCCAUUCUCAAUUGAAGUUGGUCCGAAAAUAUCGAACUCCGCCAUGAAAUAGAAAAGAUAGCCACCGUCCAUAGCUCUCAUGUGAAUGUGGCAAGGCCACAAAACAAGUUUUCCAUUGCCGGAUAUCCAACAGAUCAACUGGUGUUAUGGAUGCUUCUUAUAGAUAUUUUUUUGCCAUUUCAAACAUCAAACACCAACUACUCACAAUGGAGACAGGAAACGUGUAGCUUCUGAUGUCAACUAAGUGAGCCUGCCAAUUGUGGCAA